GGCUCCGUGGCGCAAUUGGAUAGCGCGUCGGACUUCUAGAUGGAUAGAUGCAAGUUAUUCGGAGGCUGUGGGUUCGAGUCCCACCGGAGUCG
rnacentral:tRNA from 1 species